rnacentral:rRNA from 1 species
UAUUAGUGGGGGACAACAUUUCGAAAGGAAUGCUAAUACCGCAUACGUCCUACGGGAGAAAGCAGGGGAUCUUCGGACCUUGCGCUAAUAGAUGAGCCUAAGUCGGAUUAGCUAGUUGGUGGGGUAAAGGCCUACCAAGGCGACGAUCUGUAGCGGGUCUGAGAGGAUGAUCCGCCACACUGGGACUGAGACACGGCCCAGACUCCUACGGGAGGCAGCAGUGGGGAAUAUUGGACAAUGGGCGCAAGCCUGAUCCAGCCAUGCCGCGUGUGUGAAGAAGGCCUUAUGGUUGUAAAGCACUUUAAGCGAGGAGGAGGCUACUUUAGUUAAUACCUAGAGAUAGUGGACGUUACUCGCAGAAUAAGCACCGGCUAACUCUGUGCCAGCAGCCGCGGUAAUACAGAGGGUGCAAGCGUUAAUCGGAUUUACUGGGCGUAAAGCGCGCGUAGGCGGCUAAUUAAGUCAAAUGUGAAAUCCCCGAGCUUAACUUGGGAAUUGCAUUCGAUACUGGUUAGCUAGAGUGUGGGAGAGGAUGGUAGAAUUCCAGGUGUAGCGGUGAAAUGCGUAGAGAUCUGGAGGAAUACCGAUGGCGAAGGCAGCCAUCUGGCCUAACACUGACGCUGAGGUGCGAAAGCAUGGGGAGCAAACAGGAUUAGA